ensembl:lncRNA
AAACAUCAGCUUUUUGUAAGGCGGUGCGCCAUUUAACUACAAGUCUGAGAGGAGAAUACCCUCCAUUUUCUCUCAUCCAGAUUUCUCUGUUCAAAGGACAUAUUGAAAGGCUGGAAUUUCCCAUACGUGUAGGAAAUCCCUGAGCGUCACACGUUCUUUCUGCAGAGCACGGAGCUCCUGCGGCUGGAAUGUGAACCCAGAAAAGCCAUUCAGUGAUGGGGAUGGAAAGCUGCCGCUUCCCACUGGGCAUGGCAGGAUCACACGGACCGUCUGACAGCCCACGACAGCCUCGGGGUCCUGCAGCCCAUCGCUGGUCCUGGACAGCCAGCAGUGCCGGCUGGCACAGAAGGAGGCCCUUCUCCCAGAUCCUUCAUUCUCCUGAGGGGAUGACGAUUGCAAGACACAGAGCAGGAUGUGCCAUACAGUGAGCCUCUGUGGUGAGUGUCACACUAACAUUUUCCCUAGAAAUCUCCCUGUUUUUUUUUUCUUUUUCUGGAAAAAAUUGUUCCUUAUGUUUUUCCUUGGCCUUUCUGGCUUUUGAAAAGUCAUGGCAAAGCAGUUUAUGCCCUGGAGACCCAGAAGUGCUCCCAUAUUCCUGUUGCGGCUGUACUGCUGUCCAGGUGACUCUGACAAGGCACCUUUCUGUUGGCUGCACUGCCUGGCUGCCUCUGCUUCCCUCUCAGCCAUAGCACACCUUUAUUCCUGCUCAUUUGGUGACACUGCUGAAUUUGAUGUGGUUUGCUCAGGUAGAGAUUUACCUUCAGCUUCCACCACCUUCUCUUAUAGUGGCUUCCAAGUGGAGUCAGGGUUUUCUUGCUCACAGCUUUCCUUUCUCUUCUUCAAAUAUAUGUCUAAUUCUAACAGUUCUGUUUGGAUUCCCUCCCUUUACACACUUCUACCCCUUUGACAAGGCUCAUUUUUCAGGACAGAGGUUAUAUUUCUCAUCAAAAUGCUGGCAAAGAUAAGGGCCACAUAGGCCCGUGGACCAGCUGAUGGAAAUUCAUCUAAAUCCCACACUGACGGUUCCCCACCAAUAGCCAAGGCUAUGCAGGCAUGGCUGUGAGCCCAUGAUUCAGCAACUUUCACUGAUUAAUCAAGUCACUUCAUUUUUUAUGCAUGCAAGUUUGCCCAAGGCAGCUGUGUUCAGUCGCUUUCUCGUCAGAAUGUUAGCAGUGCUGCGGAUGUCACAGGGUUUGUGAUAUUGAUAUAAAUACAUAUAGAUAUGCGUAGGUUUCUGAUUAGGUUGAGAUUUUGAAUACUCUUUAGUGGCGUUUGUUCAGUUGAUAGAAUCCCUUCUGCACAUUUACAUGCACGUUGUACCU